rnacentral:rRNA from 1 species
AGCUCCAAUAGCGUAUAUUAAAGUUGUUGCAGUUAAAAAGCUCGUAGUUGGAUUUGUGGCUGUCCCGAGCGGCCUAGCACUUAGUGUUAGUGUCAGCUUGGGUCGCCAUCCUUGGGUGGAACCUAUGUGGCAUUAGGUUGUCGUGUAGGGGAUGCCCAUCGUUUACUGUGAAAAAAUUAGAGUGUUCAAAGCAGGCUUAUGCCGUUGAAUAUAUUAGCAUGGAAUAAUAAGAUAGGACCUUGGUACUAUUUUGUUGGUUUGCGCACCAAGGUAAUGAUUAAUAGGGACAGUUGGGGGUAUUCGUAUUCCAUUGUCAGAGGUGAAAUUCUUGGAUUUUUGGAAGACGAACUACUGCGAAAGCAUUUACCAAGGAUGUUUUCAUUAAUCAAGAACGAAAGUA